rnacentral:rRNA from 1 species
GACGAACGCUGGCGGCGUGCCUAAUACAUGCAAGUCGAACGCAUUUUCUUUCACCGUAGCUUGCUACACCGAAAGAAAAUGAGUGGCGAACGGGUGGGUAACACGUGGGUAACCUGCCCAUCAGCGGGGGAUAACACUUGGAAACAGGUGCUAAUACCGCAUAAUUCCAUUUACCGCAUGGUAAAUGGAUGAAAGGCGCUUUUGCGUCACUGAUGGAUGGACCCGCGGUGCAUUGGCUAGUUGGUGGGGUAACGGCCUACCAAGGCUGCGAUGCAUAGCCGACCUGAGAGGGUGAUCGGCCACACUGGGACUGAGACACGGCCCAGACUCCUACGGGAGGCAGCAGUAGGGAAUCUUCGGCAAUGGACGCAAGUCUGACCGAGCAACGCCGCGUGAGUGAAGAAGGUUUUCGGAUCGUAAAACUCUGUUGUUAGAGAAGAACAAGGAUGAGAGUGGAAAGUUCAUCCCUUGACGGUAUCUAACCAGAAAGCCACGGCUAACUACGUG